rnacentral:rRNA from 1 species
CCUACGGUGUGCAGCAGUGGGGAAUAUUGCACAAUGGGGGAAACCCUGAUGCAGCGACGCCGCGUGAGUGAAGAAGUAUUUCGGGAUGUAAAGCUCUAUCAGCAGGGAAGACAAUGACGGUACCUGAUUAAGAAGCCCCGGCUAACUACGUGCCAGCAGCCGCGGUAAUACGUAGGGGGCAAGCGGAAGCCGAAUUUACUGGGUGUAAGGGGAGCGUAGACGGCAGCACAAGUCUGGAGUGAAAUGCCGGGGCUUAACCCCGGAACUGCUUUUGAAACUGUGCAGCUAGAGUGCAGGAGAGGUAGGAGGAAUUCCGAGUGUAGCGGUGAAAUGCGUAGAUAUUAGGAGGAACACCAGUGGCGAAGGCGGCUUACUGGACUGUAACUGACGUUGAGGCUCGAAAGCGUGGGGAGCAAACAGGAUUAGAUACCCCAGUAGUC